rnacentral:rRNA from 1 species
GACGAACGCUGGCGGCGUGCCUAAUACAUGCAAGUCGUGCGGACCUUUUAAAAGCUUGCUUUUAAAAGGUUAGCGGCGGACGGGUGAGUAACACGUGGGCAACCUGCCUGUAAGACUGGGAUAACGCCGGGAAACCGGGGCUAAUACCGGAUCGUUUUUCCUCCCCAUGGAGGAAAAAGGAAAGGCGGCUUCGGCUGCCACUUACAGAUGGACCCGCGGCGCAUUAGCUAGUUGGCAGGGUAACGGCCCACCAAGGCAACGAUGCGUAGCCGACCUGAGAGGGGUGACGGCCACAUUGGGACUGGGACACGGCCCAAACCUCCACGGGGGGCAGCAGGAGGGGAUCUUUCGGCAUUGACGGAAGUCUGGCGGGGGAACGGCGGGGGAGGGGAGAAGGGCUUCGGGUCGGAAAACUCCGUUGCCGGGGAAGAAAAAGUGCCGUACGAACAGGUCGGCGCCUUGACGGUACCCGGCCAGAAAGCCACGGCUAACUACGUG